rnacentral:lncRNA from 1 species
GCUGACUCACGACACCUGAGGAUGACACAGGACACCCCAGGAUGACUUGGGAUUCCCCAGGCUGACGCAGGACACAACAGGAUGAUUCUGGACACCCGAGGGUGACUCAGCACUAUCCAGGAUGACACAGGACACCCAGGGAUGACUCAGGAAAUCCCAUAAUGACAAAGGAUAAUCUAAGGAUGACAUGGAUACCCCAGAUUAACACAAGACACCCCAGACUGUCAUAGGACACACCAGGAAGACGGAGGACACCCCAGGAUGACACAGGACAACCCAGGAUGACACAGGACACCCCAGGAUGACUCAGGACACCCCAGGCUGUCAGAGGAUACACCAGACUGAGUCAGGUCACCUCACACUGGCACAGGACACUGGAGGAUGACACAGGAAAACCCUGGCUGACUCACGACACCCCAGGCUGACUAAGGACUCCCCAGGAUGACUCAGGACACCCCAGGCUGACUUAGGACAACCCAGGAUGACACAUGACACCCCAGGAUGACACAGGACACACCAGGAUGACUCAGGACACCCAGGAUGACACAGGACACCCAGUCUUACACAGGACACCCCAGGAUGACUCAGGACACCCCAGGCUGACACAGGAUGCCCUAGGAUGACACAGGACACUCCAGCAUUAAUAUUGACACCCCAGGCAAUCUCAGGACACCCCGAGUAAUUCAGGACACCCCAAGCUGACACAGAACAACCCCAGCCGACUCAGGACAGUCCAGGAUGACUCAGGACAUCUCAGGAUCACUCAGAAAGCCCCAGGCUGACACAGGACACCCGAGUCUGUCACAGGAGAGACCAAGGUUGCACAGGACACCCCAGGUUGAUUCAGAGACCCCAGGCUGACUCAGGACAAACCAGGCUUUGACAGGACACCCUAGGAUAUCUCAGGACACCUCAGCAUGGCUCAGGACAUGCUGGCUGACUCAGGACACUCCAGGCUGAUUCAGACACCACAGGCUGACACAGGACACCCAGGGAUGACUCAGGACACCCCAGGAUGACACAGGACACCAAAGGCUGACACAGGAUACCCCAGGCUGACCCAGGACAACCCAGGAUGACACAGGACAC